UAAAAGCUGCAAAGAGAUUCCAAGCCCUGCAUUCUCGUGGAAUUUUGGGGUUCAGUGAUUUUUCCAGGAUUUUUUGUGGGUUUUUGGAGGAUUUUCCCGGGUUAUUUUUCCCCGGCCUCCUGCACAAGUGAGGGGUCACCACCUGAUUUUGCGGCAAUCAAAUGAUACCGAGUUAUUAAUCACCACUAACGAGCUCCUCCCGGGGCUGCCUUUCCUCCCUCUUCCCAUUUUUCCCGGUUUGGAGAGAGAGAGAGGGAGAGGGAGAAUCUUUCUGGCCGUGAAAGAGCCAGGGAAGCACUUCCAGGGUCAGAAUCCCGGGUCAGAAUCCCGGGUCAGGAUCCCGGGUCAGAAUUCCAGGGUCAGAAUUCCAGGUCAGGAUCCCGGGUUGGAAUCCCAGGUCAGAAUUCCAGGUCGGAAUCCCAGGUCAGGAUCCCGGGUCAGAAUCCCAGGGUCAGAAUCCUGAGUCAGAAUUCCAGGUCAGAAUCCCAGCUCAGAAUCCCACCUCAGAAUCCCAACCUUCCCCUCUCAGCUCCCAAAUCCCGGAUUUCAGGCCCCUUUUUCAUCCCAUCACACACAAAAAAACCCCAUUUUGGGUCCCUCGUCCUGCCCCGUGCUGGGAUUUGUGUUUGGAUCCGACCAUUCCCAUGGGAUAUUCCAGCCUUUGGCUGCCUUUUCCUUGGGAUAUUCCAGCCUUUGGCUGCCUUUUCCUUGGGAUAUUCCAGCCUUUGGCUGCCUUUUCCUUGGGAAGAGGUGUAAAAACCUGAUUCUGGAUUUUUUUUUGUUUUCCCUCUGAUUCCAGAAGGGAAUUCCCUGGAAAUAGGGACACGUGUUUG
rnacentral:lncRNA from 1 species